UACGUAGGGGCUAGCGUUGUCCGGAAUCAUUGGGCGUAAAGAGCGUGUAGGCGGCCCGGUAAGUCCGCUGUAAAAGUCAAAGGCUCAACCUUUGAAUGUCAGUGGAUACUGUCGGGCUAGAGUCCGGAAGAGGCGAGUGGAACUCCUGGUGUAGCGGUGAAAUGCGGCAGAUAUCAGGAGGAACACCAGCGGCGAAGGCGGCGCUCUGGGCCGGAACUGACGCUGAGGAGCGAAAGCGUGGGUAGCAAACAGG
rnacentral:rRNA from 1 species